GGUAGUCAGUCAGUUUGUAAAAUCGUCGGUUUCCAAUGGGCUUUUCUUUAAGAUGAGGGCAUAUUAAUAAUGGAAGGCUAGUUCAAACAAACUUUCCCCAAAUGAAGUCUGGCCAACAACGAAGAUAUAUCUUAUUAUCUUAGGCACAUAGGAUGUAUCUAAUUUUCACAAACUUCCGAUGCGCCGAUAAGGCUUAAAGAGCUUCGGUAACUCGAGUAAGAAAGCUCAUCAAGGAGUAUAUAUAUUCAAGGGGAAGUUGUCCUGUCAAGAAAGGAAGGGUGAAUUGUUCAUGUCACAUUGCACUGUUGAAGGAUGAAAUUGAACUGAAGCUAAUGUUGCCAACUCUGACAAAUUUCAAUGAAGGCCAAUAAUUAGAAAUGUAGCCAUGUUUUUACAAUUAAGGUUUAAAUACAUCCAUAUGUUUGA